CCUCCUCCUCCUCCUCCUCCUCCUUCCAAGAUUAAGAGCAGUCACUCUAUAUUGUUGCUGACUUUAUCCCGGACAUAUAAGAAGAGGGAUCCACCUCCAAGGCCAAUUUCUGUAUUCCCCACCGCCUCAUCAAAGCGUAAUAGAAGGAUUAUUCAGUCUGGUUUCACCUUCAGAAGGCAUGGCAUGGAAAACUCGGACAAAUAUUCUCCUUGAUACGGCCCAGUUUUAUCCUGUGAAUCAUCUUGCAGAAGAAAGGAAGAAUUUCAAUAAUAGCCCUCUAGCGCUAUCUGGCGGGACUCCAACACUAGAAGUACUCUUCCCUUCUCUCAGUUUCUUCUUAAUCUCUCCUCUCCUCUUCUCUCCCCUCCUCUCUCCUUCUCUUUUCUUCUCUCCUCUCCUCUCCUUUUCUCCCACAUUCUACUCACUUGUCUCACUCCCACCCAACUCUGAGGGAAAAAUUCAUCCAAAGGGAGUGCUAAAAUGUCCCAGGAACCAGGUGAUGCUAAAGAGAGAUGUCCCCUGCCCUGCAACUCCCUCUCUGUGGGAGGAGGGAUGGCAUAAGAAAUAAUACAGUUGCUUGGAUUAGCAUUUUAAUUUUAAGUCAUUAACACUGCUACUGAUUUUGAGGGAGUAAUUUUGACUCAAAGGAACUGUGAUUUUGGACUUUGGGUUCAUUAUUUAAAACUAAAAUCCCACCCCACAGGUCCAAAUUAGUCAAGACUAAAUUUUAGGGAUCAAGGAACAGUUUCAAUUGUUUUUUGCUUAAUCAAAACUAGCUCCUGAUUUUGUAAGGAAUGAAAGGUGUAAACACAGCAGAUCGAGAUGAGCUUAAUUGAGGAGGGAAACAUUCUUCUAAGCUCUCUCCAUUUGUCUCUUUCUCUGUUUUUGUCAGUCUCUUUCUCCUUGUCCCUUUCUUCAAUCUCCCUCUUUGCCUCCCCCCUAAAAAAGGAUAGGCUUAUUUUCGUUCCUAUCACCAGCUGGAAUCUGUCAUAUUCAGGGUUAGAUCCAAAGAAAAAUGCACACAUAUUCUUUUUCCAAAAUGAGAUGAGAAUCAGGACAAAACCAGAGGUUUUAAAAAGAGGAUUGAAGAAGAAUUUUAAGAGAGACGUGUGUGUGUGUGUGUGUGUGUGUGUGUGUGUGACAUCCCAAAUGAUAAAAAGAGAGAAAGGAAAGUCUUCCCCAAAUUGGGGACGUUUUACUCACUAGCAUGUUCCCCUCAUGGUUGUAUGCAACUUCUUAUUUGAUUUUUGGUGACCUGUGUACCAUGAAAGGUGUGUGCUUGUGUUGAGAAGAAGGGUGGGGGGAGCAGGAGACAGAUAGUUCACUGAAGUUGGGCUUUAGUUUGGCAAGAAGGUAGUGCUUAUACCAUUUAGAAUUCUCCCUCUCUCUCUCUCUCUCUCUCUCUCUCUCUCUGUGUGUGUGUGUGUGUGUCUCUGCCUGUUUGCCUGUCUGUCUCUCUUAUAUACACACUGAGCUGAGGGGAAUAAACACACACACACACACACACACACACACACACACACACACCUCCAACAUGCCCUUUUGUCAGCUCUCUUCCUCCUAGUUUUUGAAAUACAACAGAGACAGGGGCAGCUAGGGUAUGGGGGAGGAGAAGAGAGGGAGGUAGAAGCAAGACAUAAGGAGAUGUAGCUCAACUUCUUGUGUUAAUGUUGGGUUUUUGUUUUAUAAAUUUAGUUUGCCUUUUAAAAAAAUAAAGCAGUGUGGGCUGGUUCUCCACAAAAGUAACCACUGGUCAGAUAAAUCCCUAAGUGAUAGUUCCCUAUAGAGAUUGCACAUAUCUAGAUCAGUAGAUAUGGACUAUCCAAGGGGCCCAUUGCCUAUAAGACCAAAACAUAUCGAGCUCUUUUUUCCCCAUUCAGAAAUAUUUCUCAGAAAUGUAUCCAUAGAUGCAGCUAAAACCUCAAUCACAACCGUAAGGCUAAGGAAAUGGAAAGUCAAGACACAGAUUUGGGCUCUGUCCCCCAAGAACUUCGUUCACUAUGUAAGGGAUUCAGGGUCCUAGUCAAAGAAAAAAAAAAGGUAGUUUGCCUGUAAUUAAUUGAAAACAGUUAUUAGGUCAUCAUCAGCCACGGAGCAAAUAAUUGCAGCAGAUUUUUAGUUAAAAUUGACCAGCCUCUGAAUGAUAGAUCGAUUGGAGGUAUAAAAAAUGAUGUAUCAAAACAUCAAUGUCGAUUAUUUGAAAUAUUGUAGUCGAAUUUUUUUAUUGCUUCAUCGGUUAAGUGUCUGAAAGUGCAGUGUUCAAACAUAUAUUUAUGUUGUCAAUACUGUCAGAACUGUCACUUUUACUACACUGGAUUUGUACUACAUUUCGAAUUGGCUCAUUUACAUAAAAUGCCCACCCUGGAUUCUCUCCUCUCUCCUCUCUCUCUCUCUCUCUCUCUCUCUCUCUCUCUCUCUCUCUCUCUCUCUCUCUCUCUCUCUCUCUCUCUCUCUCUCUCUGUCUCUGUGUCUCUGUCUCUGUCUCUCUCCCUCUCUCUCUCUCUCUCUGCCUCCCUCCCCCUCCCCCCCCCAAUCGGUGUCAAUUUGUUUUAUCAAAGGGUUCUGGAAUACACUGAAAGUAUACACUGCUUCAUUUAGUCAAUUUUUCACGUCGGAUUAUAUGUCUUUUUCGCCACUUCCAACUCGAAGAGGGUUUGUCUCCACGCACUUCACCUCCCUCAGAAAUAGGAUUUAAACACUUUGUAGCAGUGGCGUUUUACCACUGAAUCCCCGCUUUCUUUCCCUGCCCCCAACCACUUUAAUAGAAAAACUAAAAUCUACUGCACCUCCGAGUUUGUGCACAUAUACCUACGCAGGUACAUCUACACCACAUACUUUCACGCAGGCCAUGGUCCAUCCUCAAAUUGCCCGGAAGAUUGACGGUAUACAAGGGAAAACGAAUUUGGAAACAUACUUCCCCCCUUUUUUCUUAAAAGCUGUGAUAAGAAGAAAGGAAGUAAUACAUAUAAAUGAUCGGCACAUUUUUGCCUUUAAAAGCUUUUGAACUCAGUCGAAAAGCAUGUUAGAAGCAGAAUUGACAGUUUUAAUUCUACCCACUUUCACCAGGGCGCAUCAGAUCAGAGACAAGCAAUUCUUGGUGUGGGGGGUAGGGGAAGGAAAUGGAAAGCUGGUAGUCACUUAAGUUCCUGCCGUGAAAAAUUACUAGAAAGUUAAAGACCAUCGAAAAGCAAACAUUUCUACAGUUAAUCAACUAAUUGCAAUAUACACAGAUAAGUGCACUUCUGUCCAAUUCUAUUCCUGUAGGCUCCCAUUACCCUUCCCUAUCCCUAAACCACGAUAGGAAAGAUAUGGGACAAUUCUGGCCUGGCUGGGCGGACCUGUUUUCGUUCCUGACACGCUUAGGCGAAUUUGAAAACCUUUUAAUUUGAAUACUCCGUUUGGAGGUUAAGAGAUGCUACUCAAAAAGAAAGCUUGCUUUGCUGCUUGCCGUCAAUUUCAGCAGGUAUUUUUUUUUUAAAGAGCAGACCUUAUAAUCUUCUUCAUCCUCAUGCCGGCCUUUUAAGAAAUGUGGAAAGCAAAGGUUUUGGAAAGCAAAGUUUCGUGAGUGCAUCUGUGGAUAUAUACACAUUCACACAUGUAAGCACAUAUAGACCAUAGACUUAUACAUACAUUACAUGCUUGUAUGCCACCUUCCACCAUUCAUAGGCAGAGGCAGAACUGUAUUAUCACCACAAAUGCUUUGUUUGCUUAGUUCCCCCCUCCCCAAUCUGUCCGCCAUGUAUGACAAGUGUUUCUUGAGGAAAAUGCAUCAGCCUUCUACAAAUACUUUGAGUUUGGCCAUAAUGAUCUGUGGAAGAGAAUGGCCAUCAUUUUCUCACAUCCCAAGGUGUUGCAGGAACUGGGAGAGAAGGAUUGAAGUGCUUAAUUAUAACGUGGAGGGAGAGUGCUGAGACCUUUACAAUGACCGUACCUGUAGAAAGCUCAGUCUCCUAGAGAACAUUUGGAAAAGGUAUGGCUGAUUUUUUUUUUUGCCUUUGGGGAAAAGAAAUACUUUUGUGUAAUAAUUAGCUCAGACAAUAAAAAUAAUUGGAAAAUCAGUUGGAAUUUCUGAGUUUUUAAUUAUGCUUAAUUUUGUGCUAAGCUGUAAAAUUAUGAAUGCCCCUCAAUUAAGGACUCUCCACUUCUAAAGCAUUUAACAACAAUUAUUCCCUAAUCAGUCUGAAUGUGAGUCACAAAUGAAGCUACUCUGCAUCAAAGGGACGUCUUUAGACGUUACCUUUUAGUCAUAAGUAAGAGGAUUAAUUUCUAUAAUUAGGGGGAUAAAUAUGUGCAUAAAUACAUUUUUUUUUACCCGUUUUCACUCUGAGAGACACGACUGGCUUAUAGUAUCAUGUGCAUUUUUAAUUGUCCGAGUUAGCUUGGAAUCUUUAAGCGGGCGUAUGGAGAGGGUAGGACGGGCGUGCAGACUGAGAGUCAUGCAGAGAACACACACGUGGGAAGGCAGCGGUUAGUAGCUGGCUCUGGCAGCACUGGUUGACUCCAGGAUGCUAUCCUUCCCAGGAGAUUUUCCUCCCAGCUCUCCGAAGUAGUGUCUUUUCUUUUUACUUUUCAGUUUCUCCAUCUCCAGAAGGACAGGUCCUUGCCCCAAACUGAAGCUCAAGGCUGACUUUUAAUGAUACAAAUAAAAAUUGAGUCUGACCUUCUUAAACUCCCGUGUGAAUAUCUCAUUUACCUAAUGACUUUAUGUCACCUAGGAAGAAGGUCAAUUUCCUCUUAACCUUUUCCCCACUGCUGCAGUAAGCAUUCUUUCCUAAUCAAUUGUGGCUGGAAUAAUCAAUUCCCGUUUUAUGAUCGCUGAGAAACUCAAUCUCUGAGCCAGUCUGCUAGGCGGUGUUCACUUGGGUUGGGAUAGCCUCAUACACCCAAGCUUUCCACUAUUCCGAGGAAAGUCUCACUCUCGCCAGUGCAGUUCCUAGACUUUGGCAAAGUUCCCUCCCCCAGCCCCUAGGGGAGUUUGAGUUGUCACUAAUCCGAACCUGAUAUUCCCCAGAAUUCCUUCAGUCAUUGACAACGCUCUCUGGCUGGCUGCUUUGCCUCUCAAGCCCAGGCUCCUAGUCUGUGCUUGUUUUCAUUUCCGAGCUGGUCAGCAGGAUGGAAAUGUUUUGCCCUCCCCGGCCGGUUCCCUUCAUUGUAGGCAGAUGUAAGCCUUGUGUAUCCAAUCCAACCUGUAUACCAAUAUCAGAGCAACUAAAACGUCCAAUGUGAAUUCCCAAAAGAAAGAAAAGCAACUGGUAAACAUUUUGUGCCUUCUCUCACUCCUAAAAUUACAAUUGGAAGGGACUUCUCUUUCUAACCACUACCAGCUCUCCAACAGCACCCUUACUAGGGUUGGUCCAAACCUCUAGCUUAAAGUUCUUUUUCCAAGCAGGGGACUCACUACUUCCAGGGACAGUUUAUUCCAAUUUUUGGAUAGCUCUAAUAGUCCGGAAAUUUUUCUUUUUAUCAAUCUGAAAUCUGCUUCCCUGUGACUUCCCUCAUUGGUACCAAUUAUGCCCUCUGAAAUAAAGUCAAAUCUCUCCCAAAUGGCAGCUCUUCAAAUAUUCUAAGAUUAGUGAUAGCGUCCCCCUGUCUCAAUUGAUCCCCAUACAGACUGAUUUGGAGCCUCCUCACUUUCCUGGUUGCCCUUCUUUGGACUUUCUCAAAGUUGCCAAUGCACUCUCCCCACAACAGAUCCGGACUAGAUCACUAUCCCUCAUAUUUCCACCUCCCAAGUUCCAGCUUUUUUUUUUUCUCAUACUAAAUACCUAAAAGUUUGUAAGAAACUGGCUUAGAACUUGCGCUUUACCUCCCUGUAGAAGCACCAAAUAGUUAAAUUAUAAGGUUCCUAGACCAGUCCAUAAAUCCUGUUUUACUCAUAAUUUAACUCUACUAUCAACACUGAAUUUUGAUAAUGUCUCUUGAAUGAGAGAAGUAAAAAAAGAGAGAAAAAAAGAAAAAGAAAAGACAAGGAAAACAUUCUCUUUCCCUUUUUCCCCUAGAUAAAGUGAACCUUGGGCAAUAAUCAUGAAAAAGCUGGUUUUUCUUCAGCACUCACUUCACACUUCCUUUUCUACAUUCCUCUCUCAAAGAUUUCAAGUAUCUCAAAUGGUCCUAAACUCCUCAAAAUUCCACCUUGUUAUCAUCGUAUGCUCCAAAGUGUUUUAUGUAAAAAAAAUUCUCUCUUUACUUCACUCCUUCCAUAAAAAUAUUCUAACCAUUCAUCCCUACAGCUAGGGGGUUGAAGAAAGCAACCUGAUUGGAUCAAUUCACACUAAUACACAAAUGACUCAUAAAACACCAAGUCUCCCGAUCAGUGUUUGAAUUUGUAAAUUGGGGCAUUUUGUUAAUCUAAAUGAAUCUCAGAUUAAUAGUAUUUCAGCUAUUAUGCAUUUCUAAAAAGAGAAAUAAAAGCUAAUUCCAGCAAACAGGGAACACCUGUAAUUAAUAUAGAGAGUAUUUUGGGACAAGUGAGCCACAUUUUAAGCAGGCUAGUCUUGACUAUCAGUUUUCACCCUUUGGAAUUAGGAGGGAAGAAUUCUUGUUCCCCUCCCCUAUUUUUGUUUAUUCAUCUCCACUUUGUACUGGAUGUCUGGAUUUAUAGGUUCUCUAAAUGCAUCAAGAUCGCCACCAUGACAAUGACAGUAGUCCUUCAUAGAUGGGGAAACCAGGCUGACCCUAGAUGUAAGAAUGGAUAAUUUGUAAAUUCCACCUUAAGUAAAAGAUUGUAUAUUCCUAGAAUCUCUCUUGAUCCUAGUGUCUCCAGAGGUUGCUUUGACUUUGGGUCUUCUGAAGAAUAAGAAUACAUGUAACAACACUUAAUGGAAGUGGGGAUUUUAUUGAGAUAGGCUGUGAACUCUGUAAUCUUGGGCUCUACUUUGGGCAAGUCCGGAUACUUAACUGGGUCUCAGUUUCCUUAUCUAUUAAAGGAAGGAGUUGUAUUUCAUGAUUUCUAAGACUCUGUGAGGAUUUAAUCUACAUAUACUAUGAUGUAUCCCUUUAACCAAUAUUUUAAGAUUGCAAGAAUUGAUCCUAGCCUAUCAUUCUGAUUUACAUUAAUCAAGGAAAUAAUUUUUCCCACUACUGUGUAAAAAUAACAAAGAUGGAGAAAAUGAUCAGUAAAUGAUGUAGAAAUUUCCAAUAAACUUGAAAUGGAUAGUAAGAACAUGCUGAAUUUGACAUCUGAAGACCUGUGUGACAAUGGAAAAAAACAUUCAAUAUUCUGAGUCUUAAUUUCCUUUCUGGAAAAUGAGAGUAUUAGGCUAAAGCACCCCCAAAGUCCUCUUUUGUCUCUACAUUUUAUUAAUAAACUUCCAAUAGGAGAAAUAUUUAAAGAUUCGGGCUUUUUGAAAACUUCUUACUAGACUCCUCUGUACCACUCUAAAUUUCUUAUAGACUCCUGUAGCACAGAACUUGGAACUAUAGUGAGCAUGUAAAUGCUUGUUGACUUGUCUCUGAUUUUUUUUCCUUCUUCCAUAUAACAGAGAUCUGUUCUCCUUAGUUUAUGAAAAUGUAAUUAAACUUUCAUUUUUCCCAUAGCAGGCUCACUACCCUGGGGUAAAAGUACCAGCCAAACCCGGAGCAUCUUCCAACAACUAAUAUAAUAUAAUAUAUAUAUAUAUAUAUAUGCACAUAUAUAUAUAUAUAUAUUUACAAGAUGAGUGUGAUGCAAGUGAGACAUCAUGAAGCUGAAAUGGGAAGGGGAGGGGGCAAUACCCUCCCCCCCAUGAAGAAUAUUUCCUUGAGGGAUAAUGAUACUGGGUCAGUGUAUCUCUACUGGGAGGAUAUAAUUACUGAAGAGACAUUUGACAAGUUCAGGAACAUUUGAGUAAUAGAAAAGACUGACAUACCACAGAAGUUGGUGAUGGGAGUGAUGGAGGAGUUCCUUGUUGGGCAGAAGAAUAUGAAACAUCCUCUGGACGAAGUCAUUCUCUUGUCUCACAAUAGAAGGCUAGUUCUUGUUCUCUGUUCAACUCCAUUCCAGCUAUGACAAAUGAGGGGAAGGAGUAGAACAAAGAGAGAGCUAAGGCAGUCCACUGGCCCUCUGGCUAGAGUGGAAAGUGGAAACCUUGGGGAAGGGGGAUAGAUAAGCUUUCAGGAUCUUCUUGCCUUAGGCCUUGGAGGUUACUGUCCACUCUCAUUCAGCGAUUCUCCCCACCCCCCACCCCUUAGGAUUUCUGAUUUCAGUUACCUCUGGGUUAAGGAAACUCCCUUAACUGAUGCAUGGUUAGCUAACCUUUCUGUAAUCUCUCACAUGGAAUGUUUCCUGGGUUUCUAAGGAAUUAAAUGAUUAGCUCAGAGUUACACAGCUUAAUGUGCAUCAAAUGCAGAAGAAGAUGAACCUAGGUCUUCUUGACUCUGAGACUGGCUCUCUACUACUCCAUGAUAUCGCUUAAUGCAGGCAUAUAAUAAGAGAAAUGGGUUUUGUGGGCCUUUUUCUAAGGGAAAAUGCACUGUGAUCUCCCAACACACUUUUGUUUGUAUUUAUGGGCUACUUGUAAAUUAAAAAAAAAUGAUAUUU